UUUGAAAGUUAGGAAACAUACUCAUCAUCCCUAAUUAUCUCUCAAGGCAUGAUCCUGGUGGCCUUCGCUUGCCUCAUGAUGAUGUUUCCGGUAAUCGAAGCGGAGCCGGUUACUAAGGAUUACUUGAACUACACCGAUUAAUGAAAGGAAUGGAGAGUUGUUGUUGCAACUUCAGUAAACUUUCGAUAAUUUUGAACAGUGAAACUGUCUGUAAGUUGAAAUAAAGCAAUAUCGAAUUAA